UGGGAACUUUAAAUGGCACUGCUGCUGUUGAUCCAUAUGUCGAAAUAAUUUGGUAAUUUGGGGGGACCACAAUAUAUCAAACUCUUCUGUAACGGUACAUUCAUUAUCUUCCCACAG